rnacentral:rRNA from 1 species
GACGAACGCUGGCGGCGUGCCUAAUACAUGCAAGUAGGACGCAGUUGCGAACGGGUGAUUAACGCGUAGGAACCUACCUAUUAGAGGGGGAUAACUCUUGGAAACGUUAGCUAAAACCGCAUACUGUUAGAUUGACCUGCGUUGUAUUGGCUAGUAGGUAGGGAAAUGGCCUACCUAGGCAACGAUACAUAGACGAGCGGAGAGGGUGAGCGGCCACACUGGUACUGAGACACGGGCCAGACUCCUACGGGAGGCAGCGUUGGGGAAUAUUGGACAAUGGGCUAGAGCCUGAGCCAGCCAUGCCGCGUGUGUGAAGAAGGUCUUCGGAUUGUAAAGCACUUUAAGUUGGGAGGCGUUACCAACAGAAUAAGCACCGGCUAACUACGUGCCAGCAGCCGCGGUAAUUC